UACGUAGGGUGCGAGCGUUAAUCGGAAUUACUGGGCGUAAAGCGUGCGCAGGCGGUUUUGUAAGCCAGAUGUGAAAUCCCCGGGCUUAACCUGGGAAUGGCAUUUGGGACUGCAAGGCUGGAGUGUGGCAGAGGAGACUGGAAUUUACGGUGUAGCGGUGAAAUGCGUAGAUAUCGUAAGGAAGACCAGUGGCGAAGGCGGGUCUCUGGACAGUUCCUGACGCUGAGGCACGAAGGUCAGGGGAGCAAACGGG
rnacentral:rRNA from 1 species